CAGCCCUAGUAGAAAGCAGAAAACAAAAUCUUGAAGAAUUUUUGGCAUUAAAUCGAUCUAUGCGUACUUGUCUCUCGGCUCCACCAACCCUUCCAUCUAUCCGUUCAUACUGCCAUUUCUUAUAAGUGCAAUAAUCUUCCAGCAAGUCUAGCAUGUGCUGAAAUUGUGAAUAAAUAAGAACUCUAUGUCCCUGCUCUUUAAGCUUCACCAUCAUUUUGUCCAACAAUUGCAGUUUCCCAGAAGAUUCCACAAGCUGUUUGUAAGAUUCACUGGCAUCUAAUAUCUGGUUCAACUCCUUCUAACAUAUAAGCAUGACAGCACAGCUUGCGCAAUUCCAUAACCACAUUGAUAAGAGAAAUCUGUGGACCACCACGUCGGGUCAAUAUUUGAUAGUUACGAGUCAAAAUGGCCUUGUAAUAUUCUUUCUGCUUGCUACUUAGUUCAACACGUAGAAUGAGUUCCUUUUUAGGAGGUAGCUCUGUCAUGACAUCUUUCUUCACCCUUCUAAGGAGAUGGGGAGCCAACAUUUUAUGAAGUCUUGAAAUUUUCUCUUCUUGAUUUAUAUCCUUAAACUCCUCCUGGAACUCCUCCAAACUAGCAAACUUCCCAGCAUCAAGGAAGUGCAUGA
rnacentral:misc_RNA from 1 species